GAUGAACGCUGGCGGCGUGCCUAAUACAUGCAAGUCGAGCGAACGGACGAGAAGCUUGCUUCUCUGAUGUUAGCGGCGGACGGGUGAGUAACACGUGGAUAACCUACCUAUAAGACUGGGAUAACUUCGGGAAACCGGAGCUAAUACCGGAUAAUAUUUUGAACCGCAUGGUUCAAAAGUAAAAGACGGUCUUGCUGUCACUUACAGAUGGAUCCGCGCUGCAUUAGCUAGUUGGUAAGGUAACGGCUUACCAAGGCAACGAUGCAUAGCCGACCUGAGAGGGUGAUCGGCCACACUGGAACUGAGACACGGUCCAAACUCCUACGGGAGGCAGCAGUAGGGAAUCUUCCGCAAUGGGCGAAAGCCUGACGGAGCAACGCCGCGUGAGUGAUGAAGGUCUUCGGAUCGUAAAACUCUGUUAUUAGGGAAGAACAUAUGUGUAAGUAACUGUGCACAUCUUGACGGUACCUAAUCAGAAAGCCACGGCUAACUACGUG
rnacentral:rRNA from 1 species